UGCCCUAGGCCACCAAUGGUGGAGGAGCCUUCAGUGACUACUCCUCCUCUGUGCCCUCCACACCUAGCAUCAGCCAGCGGGAGCUGCGGAUUGAGACCAUUGCUGCCUCCAACACACCCACCCCCAUCCGCAAGCAGUCGAAGCGGCGCUCCAACAUAUUCACGGGCCGGAUAAGGGAUGGGCACUGGGAUUGAUCUAACAUUAGAGGCUCGCCCGCCCUCCAGCCAGCAUGUCCCCCCCUCGGAGACACGCAGGAGCCUUUUAAAUCCCCCCAAUGUAAAGUCUAGGAAGCGCUGAGACGGCCUGCGCCUGCACUUUAAGCUGGGACAUUUCUGGGCCUGCUGGAUGCUGUCUAGGCACUUUCCAUGCUUGGGGAUGCCAGGCGGAUGACCCUCAUGGGAUGGGAAGACCUGCAGACCUGCCGGCACCGGGCGACAGCAGCGAGUGGAGCUGGAUGGGCCAAAAGACGCUUUGCUGCUGCCUGCGGGAGCUGCUGUUAGCGCCUGCCGCUAGCACUCAGCUCCUUCCUCCCUACUGCACCUCCUGCAGCCUGCAUGGACUCCUGCUCCUCCUCUUCUUCCUCCUCGCAGCAGAGCAGCCAUCUAUGUCUCUUUAGUUUUCUUCUCUUUCAAUCUCUUUGUUUUGUUCUGGGCCCAAAAGCAAGUGAAUCGGUGUCCCAGGCGCGUGGGGCUCGUGUCCCUUUCUGAUCCAAAGCACAUGGGGCGCUCCCGGACUGAGGGGGUGUGUAGGACGCUCCAGAGAGACGCUGCCGCUGCCCUUCUGCCAUUGUUGUGAUUCUGAAUGUAUUGAUUGUGCUCCAUGCCGUGUAUGACUUGAUAUUUUCCUCUGUCCUAAGCACUUUGAAUGAGUUCUGCUCAACAGACUGUAUAUUUCAUAUUGUAUUUAUUGGAGUUUGCUCUCACCGCAGCCGCCCUCGGGGGCUGGCGGGUUUUGCUCUCAACUCUCUAGACGUGUGAUAGAUAUUUAUUGUCCAUGCUCUUUUGUAAGGGGCUGGUAUCUCUGCCCGGUGACCUGUGCUACUUUGUAUGGUGCAAGUGUGUUAACAGAAUAAAUCUGUUGGAUUAGUAGA